CUGAGAUCUUGUUAAAAUGCAGAUUCUGAUUUAGAACAUCUGGAGCAGGUCUGAGAUUCUGCAUUUCUAACAAGUUCCCAAAUGAUGCUAA
rnacentral:pre_miRNA from 1 species